GAAAAAUUAGAAGUAUUGAGAGACUCGACAAUAUCUUUGGUUGGAUGCGAAUGAAGACUGAUAAGGAUGCUAGGGAAAUGAUGUUCGGUCGAGAUGAAAUCAAUUUGAUUGUUGUAAUCAGUUAGAAAUAUUUCUGUUUUCAGUUAGCUUAUUUUGUACUGAUGUUUGUUGUGAACCUCAUUGUAACAAAAACUUAAUGAUAUAUAAUGAUUGAAGGUUAUAGAAA
rnacentral:lncRNA from 1 species